rnacentral:lncRNA from 1 species
UGUGCCUCCUGGAGGAGCACCCAGGGUGGCAGAGCCAGGAUGCACUGGAAGCAUCUUCCCUCCACCCCUCCGCUUCCAAAGCAGGAAGCCACAGUCUCAGACCAGAGCCACCCCCGCCUUCCACACUCCAGAGAGGCCUGGGACCCAGAGUCAGUGACCCAACCUGGCAGCUGGGCAGCUUAAACCCACAGCCAGCAGACAUGAUGGUCCCUGGAUGGUUCCAGCCCUGACCACAGGCUGAUCCCUUGGCUUUUCUGGGCCUCAAGUGCCCUGUGAGGGGUGGCCAAGUGGUCCCAAAGGCCCUUCUAGUGCUGAAACUACAGGGACAGAGCUCAGCUCUGCACUCAAAAGCUCAGAGCUUCCAUUUGGGGAAAAGUGGAUUCUAGGAGCCAUCCCUCACCCAUCCUAGCACCCCUCCAUGGAGAGUUCCAUCCCAGGGCAGGAAGCACCUACCUGAAGGUUCUGGAAGGGGCAGAGGCCCUGCAGCUUGGACCCCUCCACGCAGAGCAGCAUCUAACCAGCAUCUUCUUCCUGAACCCUCUGGGGUUGGCCUGCGCCCCAUCUGCCAUGCUCUGGGUUCCGGGGGACCAGCAGCAUAAGUAUUGAGAGGUCCCUGAUGCAUUCCUCAAAUUCCAGGGAACAGGCCCCAGCUUCACGCUCCUCGCACACUGGCAGGGUAGAGCCAGGGCAAUGCCCCGGGCAAGUGGCAGAUGCCCUAGAAAAUGGAGGCUCCACCUCCUCCUCCUCCUGCCUCAGCCCUGCCCCGCGCUGCCUGGUGAAGUCCCACCUCCAGCGUUCUCU